CAUCACCAAACCGACGCAUCUUUCUGUACGACUAGAGACGAGAUGAUGGCAUUACAGGCACUUGAGGAACUAACGGAGGAAGUGGCUCCAACUAUUAAGGAUUGGUUUCCUAAGUCACUUCUCCCGAAAUCACGCGGUCUCUGACGGCAUCAUCUCAACAAAAGAAAAGAAUUGUUUACUCAUUGAGAAUCCCACUAUUUCAACAUUUUACUUACUUCCUAAAGUUCACAAACAAGCCUCUACACCACCAGGACACAACAGAUGCUCUUCGCAGGAUGGAAUUAUUACAUCUGGAUUCUGAUAUGUGGAUCGUUACCUGUGACGUGGAAUCCCUGUAUACAUCUAUACAUCACGAGGAUGGCCUCAGAGCUACACAGGCGUUCCUGCUCAUGUCCGGAAUGGAUGAAAAUCAAGGGUCGAAGCAUGGGCCAGAUAUAUUGAUGACGUGAUCUUCAUCUGGAAAGGAACCGAGGACGAAUUGAGAACAUUCAUGAGCCACCUUAACUCAAAUGACUUAAACAUCAAGUUGACAUACAAGAAUCAUCGCACCCUCGUAGUCUCAUCAGAGGGAUCCCUAUGGGACAAUUUUUGAGACUAAGGAGAAUCUGUUCAACAGAUGAGGGAUUCGAAGCAAGGGCAUGUGAACUCUGGGAGCGAUUCCGAGAACGGGGGUACCAGGAAAAUUGGAUCUUGAGGGCAUAUUUAAGGGCCAAACAUACUAAACGCGAGAGUCUUCUGCAAUCAAAACCUAAGAAAGAUGGUGAUAACCAGGGAUGACGACGAGAGAGUUGAAGAAAAGAACAAGGGAACACGUCUUGAGUAUAUUGGCGGCAAACGAAGAAUCGGAUCUACGAAGGCUCACAACAGUUCCACGACAUUUCAAGCUCCACCACAAUUGUGACCCUCGAGGUCUGAUGGUAAGGGGCAUUGAUCACAUUUUUAUUGGGAGUAGAGGAGGCAAUUGGAAGAUCAAAUUAGCCCAACUAGAAAUGAGAUGGAUUCACCGCCUCAAAACCAUCUACCCCCACGGCCUUAACGAUUAUGUUAGCUUUGCACCAUUUUUAUAGUUUGGAUUUCGUGUUAGUUCUUGGUUAGGUGUCUCUUUUUGGUUAGUUGAUUUUAUCAUUGGU